CCUACGGGUGGCAGCAGUGGGGGAUAUUGCACAAUGGGGGGAACCCUGAUGCAGCGACGCCGCGUGAGUGAGGGAGCAUUUCGGCGUGUAAAGCUCUAUCAGCAGGGAAGAAAAUGACGGUACCUGACUAAGAAGCCCCGGCUAACUACGUGCCAGCAGCCGCGGUAAUACGUAGGGGGCAAGCGUUAUCCGGAUUUACUGGGUGUAAAGGGGGCGGAGACGGUAAAUCAAGUCAGGAGUGAAAGCCCAGGGCUCAACCUCGGGACUGCUUUUGAAACUGAGUGGCUAGAGUGCAGGAGGGGUAGGCGGAAUUCCUAGGGUAGCGGUGAAAUGCGUAGAUAUAAGGAGGAACACCAGUGGCGAAGGCGGAUGACUGGACGGUAACUGACGGUGAGGCGCGAAAGCGUGGGGAGCAAACAGGAUUAGAUACCCGAGUAGUC
rnacentral:rRNA from 1 species